UUCAAAGUGUUUUUGUACCUGGAAGAUUAAUCAUAGACAAUGCUCUAGUUGCUUGUAACAAUUUUAAUUUAUGAGGAAAAAAACUAUCGAUAAAAUUGAUUUUGUGGGUUUAAAAUUUGACAUGUCGAAAGCCUAUGACCGUAUUGAAUGACCUUUCCUACAAGUUGUUCUCCACAAUAUGGGCUUUUCUCAUUCUUGGACUUCUUUGAUUAUGGGUUGUGUUUCUUUAGUAUCCUUCUCAGUUCUUUUGAAUGGUAGACCUUGUCAAAGUUUCACUUCUCAAAGAGGAUUGGCCCUUGUCUCCUUACCUUUUUUAUUUUAUGCACAUAAAUUUUUUCAGCUCUUAUCUAUGGGGUGCACGAGAUAGGUGAAAUACAUGGCAUUAAUAUUGUUCAAAGAGCUCUGUCCAUUUCCCAUCUUUUCUUUGCAGAUGACAAUUUCAUUUUUUACAAGGCUACCCACACUAAUGUUGAAUGCUUCAAGAAUAUUAUCCAUUUGUACCAAGUUGCUUCUGACCAAUCCAGUAACCUUGACAAGUUUAAGAUCUCGUUCAGCUGAAAUGUUCAUUUAGACAGACAAAUUGGAUUCCAAAUAUGGAUCCCAAGUACUUGGGCCUUCCCUUAUAUGUAGGGAGAUCCAAUCAACAAGUUUUUGACUUUGCAAAAGAACGAUUUUUGAAUAAGCUAAAGGGUUGGAAAGAGAAGCUCUUAUCUUCGACAAAAAAAAAAAGAUGUGGUCAUCAAAUUCAUUGCCCAAUAUAUUCUCACGUACAACAUGAGUUGUUUCCUCUUACUUGUGGGUUUUUGCUAUCAAAUUGAGUCCAUUAUUAAGCAAUUCUGGUGGGAAUACUCUUAGUGCGAGAAGAAGAAAAUUCACUGGAUUAAUUAAAGUACGUGCUAUAAACCUAAAUGUGUAGGGGGCAUUGGAUUCUGCAACUUCAAAGCUUUCAAUCUUGCCCUUCUAUCCAAACAAGGACCCUAACACGUGGGAUUCUCAACUUGUCAACUUCCUACCUUUUGAGCCCUCUCAAAUCCUACAACUUCCUCACCCGGCCUCACAUCGACAUGAUCAAAUCAUUUGGGACCCUCAUACUAAGGGUAUCUUCUUGAUUAAGAGUGUCUGUCAUUCUAUCAAAAAUUGGGAAAGCUCAGAGUCCACUCAAAACUCCUCACAUGAUGCUAAUUCAAAGGUUUGGAAAAACCUUUGGAACUUACAAACUAUUCCUAAACAUAUACAUUUGAUUUGGAAGAUCUGGCAUAAUGCGAUACAUGUUAAAAAGAACCUCCCCAAGAAAAAUGUUGAUUGAACUGUUGCGUCCCAGAUGCAACCUAUAUGAGGAAGACAUUGGCCAUGGUUUUUGCGACUGCCUUUGGGCUCAACAUGUUUGGUUUCAUCCCCAAUUGCGAAUUAGGAAAACAUUUGGAAGUUGACGAGACGAUUCAAAAAGUCUUGCGAGUAAUCACAUAUUUCAUACGGCUACUGCACUCUCGCCUUGGAGCUAUCCCUCUAUAUCAAGAAACUUCCCCCACCAACUAGUCACGUGCCUCAUACAACAACUAUAAGAUCAAUGUUGACGUUGCUAUCCCAGUCCAAAAUACGUGGAGAAUUGGAAUAAUCAUUAAAGAUAUUGAAAAGUUUGUAUCAGCAAUCAGUACUUGGAAAUUCGGUGCUCUUCCAGACUCAAACAUUGUGGAAGCUUUAGGAAUACGUUUUUCACUCUACUUUGCUCUUGAUUUAGGAUUUCAUCGUAUCGACGUGGAAGGUGACUCUUUUAAUGUCAUUCAAGCAAUUCAUGGUUUUACUAUUGAUAAUUCUUAUUUUGGUUUAGUUGUUAAAGAUUGUCGCCACCUUCUUAGACUUUUCAAUAUUACACGCAUUAAAAGGAGUGCUAACACUUCUGCCACAACUUAGCUAAACAUGCUUUAAUUUUCUCUAAUACUAUUUGAAUUGAGGAAUGUCCUCUUUGUAUUUUCUCUUUUAUUGCAACAGAUUUAGUUGUUUAAUAAAUUAUAUUUUCCAUCAUAAAAAUAAAUAUAUUCUCCCUCAUUUCAACA